GGAAAGCGCGAGGGGGAAACGGCUGGAAAAGGUGAGGAGGCGGAGCCGCCGCCUAGGCGGGGAAAGGCGGCAUACCAAAAUGUGCACAUAUCCGGUAGUCGUGGCCGAGUGGUUAAGGCGAUGGACUAGAAAUCCAUUGGGAUCCUCCCGCGCAGGUUCGAAUCCUGCCGACUACGAGCAGAUCCUUUUCCUCCUGCUGAGUAUUCCCUCCCUCUCCAGUGUCCGAAGUCCGCUCACUGUCUGCCUGUUUUUUUUUUUUUUUUUGACACAACAGAAAUUGUCACCAGUAAUAAAUAAGGAAAAUGAGGAAAUUAGGAGCCACUCCCCGAGAGCGCCAGCUCGGAGCGGAAACCCUCCAGUAGGGAGGGGUUGCCCCCGGGAGGGCCCCCGCCUUUUUGGGCAGGGCGAGGCGGGGCUCCCCCUGGCCCACCCGGCGCCGUGGCUUAGCUGGUUAAAGCGCCUGUCUAGUAAACAGGAGAUCCUGGGUUCGAAUCCCAGCGGUGCCUGCGCUAUUCCCGGCCUUCUCGUAGAUCCAUUUUGGAGGAGGCGCCGCUGGCCCUCCCGCCUCCGCUCAGCUCUUCUCGUACCCGCUGCCCGUAUCGUGUCUGUCUGAGUAGCGGGAGCCGAUCGUUUUCGUCAUUUGCCCCGCAGAGGCUGAAGGGUCCCCAUGGUUUCAGCUGCCGCCCCUUCGGAGGGCGUCUUCUGGCGCCGAUGUGGUCUCGGCCCGUCGUCGUUUCGGACAGGAAAUCGGGCUGUGCCCGCCCGCGGGGACCGCCCGUGACAGGUCAGCCUUGGGCAACACCUUUCAUUCAGCCCCUCGCUUCCGCACGCCCGGCUGGACACCCUCCCCGCCCGAGGAACAGCCCCGGCUGAUGAAAUCGGAGCCCCAGCGGCAGCAGCAGCAUUUGCGCGGCUCUGUAGGCGAUCGUGGUAGGAUUGUAGUGUUGACCUGGAAAAACAAGACAAAGACACUGGGAUUCACAGCAAGAAAAAAGGCAAGAGGGACCCGAGCUUAGCAAGCUGAUGAUGCAUUAAGCUGCUUCUGGGCCAGAAUGAGAGCAAUCAUCGUUAGAGUCUUCCCCAAGCCCAUGUCAUCCGCUGCAAAAAGACACACACCAGUUAUCACCUGCAGAAAUGAGCCCCCUUAGCUGAGAUCUACACUGAGGGAAAUACUACAACAGAAAGUGCCCUGGGGAACGCAGCAAAAUAAAAAUACACAGAUGAAAAUUUCA